rnacentral:rRNA from 1 species
GUCCACACUGUAAACGAUGAAUGCUAGGUGUAGGGGGUAUCGACCCCUUCUGUGCCGGAGUUAACACAAUAAGCAUUCCGCCUGGGGAGUACGGCCGCAAGGUUGAAACUCAAAGAAAUUGACGGGGGCCCGCACAAGCAGCGGAGCAUGUGGUUUAAUUCGAAGCAACGCGAAGAACCUUACCAGGUCUUGACAUCCAAUAAAACUUGUAGAGAUACAUCGUGCCUUCGGGCGUAUUGAGACAGGUGGUGCAUGGUUGUCGU